rnacentral:pre_miRNA from 1 species
CGGGAGAGCACCGGAUCCUGGGCUGUGUCCCGGCGCCCAGUGCUCCCAGCCUGCUCUGCUGGAUUCGCGCACCUGGCCGCACAGCCG